CGGCGACUGAUCACGCCGCAGUCCGGCAGCUGGCUCGUCCCCCGCCGCGCCGGACCGGACAAAGGCCUCACCCCCUCUCCGGGCCUUUGUCCUCCUGUUGAAACCGCCAUGGCCGUUCCCCUCCCGGCCGUGGCGGUUUUCU
rnacentral:sRNA from 1 species